rnacentral:rRNA from 1 species
GACGAACGCUGGCGGCGUGCUUAAUACAUGCAAGUCGAACGGAAAGGUCCUGCUCUUGUGGGGUGCUCGAGUGGCGAACGGGUGAGUAACACGUGAGUAAACUGCCCUUGACUUUGGGAUAACUUUAGGAAACUGGGGCUAAUACAGGAUAGGAGCUCCUGCUGCAUGGUGGGGGUUGGAAAGUUUCGGCGGUUGGAGAUGGUCUCGCAGGUUAUCGGCUUGUUGGUGGAGUAGUGGCAUACCAAGUCUUUGAAGGGUAGCCGGCCUUGGAGGGUGACCGGCGACAUGGGUACUGAGGGACGGCCCAGACGCCUACCGGACGCAGCAGGGGGGAAUAUGACGCAAUAGGCGGGAGCCUGAUACAGCAACGCUGCGUGCGGGAUGACGGCCUACGAGUGAAAAACCGCUGUCGCCGUAAACGAAGAGUGAGUGACGGUAAUGGAUAAGGAAGCACCGGCUAACUACGUG